rnacentral:rRNA from 1 species
AAGCGGAGGAAAAGAAACCAACAGGGAUUGCCUCAGUAACGGCGAGUGAAGCGGCAAAAGCUCAAAUUUGAAAUCCUUCGGGAGUUGUAAUUUGUAGGUUGGGAGACCCCGCGGCUAGUGGCACCAAGUCCCUUGGAACAGGGCGCCUUAGAGGGUGAGAGCCCCGUAGGUACCACAACACCGUCUUGUGUCUCCUCUCCAAAGAGUCGAGUUGUUUGGGAAUGCAGCUCAAAGUGGGUGGUAAAUUCCAUCUAAAGCUAAAUACCGGCGAGAGACCGAUAGCGAACAAGUACAGUGAUGGAAAGAUGAAAAGCACUUUGAAAAGAGAGUGAAACAGUACGUGAAAUUGUUGAAAGGGAAGGGCUUGCAAGCAGACACGGCCUUCGUGCCGGGCCAGCAUCGGUUGCUAGGGGUGGAUAAGGAACAAGGAAUGUAGCUCCUCGGAGUAUUAUAGCCUUGCGCGAUACACCCACUGGCGACCGAGGCCUGCGGUAUUCUUUACCUAGGAUGCU